rnacentral:tRNA from 1 species
GGUCUUGUAGCUCAGUUGGUUAGAGCGCAUGCUUCACAUGCAUGAGGUCCUGGGUUCGAGCCCCAGCAAGACCACCA